GCGGAACGAACUCCGUCCCCUGCAGAGUCGGUGCCUUCGGGGGCUCCACCACCGCGCGCUCCCACUCGCAAGGUCUGCACGACACUUGGAAGAACACUUCCCAUCGCGCAAGGGAGAAAAUGAAGCUCUCUGCUCGUCUCUAUCAGAGAAGCUAAAAAUUCCCCUCUCUUUUCUGCAAGUUUCCCAAACCCCAUGACUCUGAUUUCCAGGCCAGAGAUCAAGGUUUUACCUCCUCUCCCUCCUGGAGAAAAGAAGACAGAAGUUUCAAAGGAUAUCCAUAACACAGCCUACAUUUAGGGCCUGAGGACUUACAAAGGCUUUGUUUUAAAUGAGACG